UGUUAACCAGACCUUAACAGCAAUUGCGACAUUUAAUAUUGAUAUAAAAAGCGUCAAACCAAGUGCGAAACCAGUGUGCAUAGCGAACGAGGAACCUACUGCAAGUCCGUUGUUUUUCGAGACGUUUUUGCUCUCAGAAGAGGAUGAGAUCGUCAACACACAAUUUACUUUACGGGCCAAGGAUAUCUGUGUAAAGAAAUUUAAAACGCCAGAUCAGUGUGCCACGUUUAAUUCUUCUCAAUUUGCCUGUGUCUCACUUACAGGACGAGCAGGCGUAUUUGCCAGUGCUGAGUUCAUUUACUCACAAAUGGACCAUCAAUUUUCUUCGAAAGAGGAGCGUCGGUACUUUUUGGGCGGGAAAUUACACAAAAUUUACCCAGAGCCGUAUGCUCCUUCAACUAUUAUUGAACUGAUGAGCGGGAAUUCGCGAAAUAUUCUAUUGAGAGACGUGCCUGAUUUAUAUGCGCUGUUUCCGCCGUUGGAUUCUGGAUCAAAGGAGCAUCUAC